UGGGGAAUAUUGCACAAUGGGCGCAAGCCUGAUGCAGCCAUGCCGCGUGUAUGAAGAAGGCCUUCGGGUUGUAAAGUACUUUCAGCGGGGAGGAAGGGAGUAAAGUUAAUACCUUUGCUCAUUGACGUUACCCGCAGAAGAAGCACCGGCUAACUCCGUGCCAGCAGCCGCGGUAAUACGGAGGGUGCAAGCGUUAAUCGGAAUUACUGGGCGUAAAGCGCACGCAGGCGGUUUGUUAAGUCAGAUGUGAAAUCCCCGGGCUCAACCUGGGAACUGCAUCUGAUACUGGCAAGCGUGAGUCUCGUAGAGGGGGGUAGAAUUCCAGGUGUAGCGGUGAAAUGCGUAGAGAUCUGGAGGAAUACCGGUGGCGAAGGCGGCCCCCUGGACAAAGACUGACGCUCAGGUGCGAAAGCGUGGGGAGCAAACAGG
rnacentral:rRNA from 1 species